rnacentral:lncRNA from 1 species
UGAAGUAUAGCUACAAAACUCCUAAUUCCCCCUACCCUUACCCCUAUCCCUACUCCUAUACUUACAAGUAUUAAGUGUAUUAAUUUGUGGCAACAUCAUCUUAAUUUUCAUUUAUCAUCUGAUGCUAAUGUAGAUUCUUCAAUAUGCAUACAAAAGUGUUGAAAUAAAUUACUAUUGUAAUUGUCAUCCCUUGAAUAUGUUCGUGUUAUGUUUCAUGUAAUAAAAUUGGAUAUUUGUUGAACAUCGUUUGGUCUAAGCAUGAAAAAAUCAUCUCUGGCAUAAAGGGUUCCAUGAAUGAACUGA